CUGAGCUCUCCUCCUAUCAGUGCCGAGUGUGGUCUUGCACACUGGACCUUACCAGGUGUCAGGGGCAGAAAGCGUGAUGGGAGUGAACAGCCUAAAAUAACAGAAAGAUUCCACCAAGUGACUCCUCAAGUUAUUGGCCUCUGGUUAAGAGAUACUUGAACCGUUGACGUGAUAAAUUUGGCUUGGUCAUGGAGAGGAUUUCAAGAAUCUGCUUCAAGUUGAAACUUUUAAACCACAGCUCAAAACAAUGACUACUUUAGAAAACUCACCAAGGUCAAGAGAAGCAUCAGUGCGGCCUAAGAGGAGGAACUGAAA